UACGGAGGGGGCAAGCGUUGUUCGGAAUUACUGGGCGUAAAGGGCGCGCAGGCGGCUGCUCAAGUCAGGCGUGAAAGGCCUGGGCUCAACCCGGGAAUUGCGCUUGAGACUGGGCUGGCUUGAGUGCGGGAGAGGAUGGUGGAAUUCCCAGUGUAGAGGUGAAAUUCGUAGAUAUCGAGAGGAACACCGGUGGCGAAGGCGGCCAUCUGGAUCAACACUGACGCUGAGGCACGAAAGCGUGGGGAGCAAACAGG
rnacentral:rRNA from 1 species